rnacentral:tRNA from 1 species
GUAGGUAUAGUUUAAAUAAAACAUUAGAUUGUGAAUCUAACAAUAGAGACCAACCCCUCUUACUUACC